CUGAGAUAUUCUAAUAAAAUGUAUUCUAAAUAUUACUAUAACAACUAAGUAAUAUUUAUUAUGGUUCAAUGUGCCUCAACAAUCUUCAUAUCUUAAUUAAUUGUUUAAUUGAUAUCCAACAUUUAUAUAUUGGUAGCUAGCUAGGCCUUUCUUGUGCAAAUAUUUCAAGGACUCACAAGUUAUUCUUCCUCCUCUCUUUGUGACCAUAAUCAUCUAUACAAAUAUAAAGAGUUGACAUGUCCUUAUUAAUUUCUACAAUACUUGAGAUGACCUGAAUACUUUAGAUGUUUCCUUCCAUGUUGUGUGUUCUUUCUUUUGCACUUUGAGCAUGGCAUGAAUUUGUUGCUUUGAUUGCAUGGAAUAAACUUAUAAUAAAUGUUUGCAUAACAACUUGUUUAAAUAUUUUUUUAGAUCAUGGAUACCUCUAGGAGUUGGAUGUAUGCUAGGAAGCUACAAGAUAGA
rnacentral:misc_RNA from 1 species